rnacentral:misc_RNA from 1 species
GUAAAUGCCAUCCUCUGCAAGAAAUGUAGAAAAUAUAAUGGUAGCGUCACCAAAGGAAAAAUCAAACAACAUUUUUCUUUCAUGCGUAUGUCUGCAUGUGUGUGGAAUCCCACUUUUUAUGACCAUUAGAGUUGGACUUGAUGAAUUUUUCAUGCCAGACAUCACAAGUAGUGCCAAAACUCUGCCUAAGAAUAGUGCCUUGACUGUUGUCUUGGGUUCCAAUUUUUUUUCCCCUUCUUUUGGAUAUUUUCACCUGUACAAAUCUUGUAAACAGUGUUAACACCCCAGUUUUUAUUUAACACUUUACUAUUGCUCUGAGAGAGAGAGAGAGA